GGAGGCUGAUAGGUGAAGGGAGGCUGAUAGGUGAAGGGAGGCUGAUAGGUGAAGGGAGGCUGAUAGGUGAAGGGAGGCUGAUAGGUGAAGGGAGGCUGAUCGGUGAAGGGAGGCUGAUAGGUGAAGGGAGGCUGAUAGAUGAAGGGAGGCUGAUAGGUGAAGGGAGGCUGAUAGGUGAAGGGAGGCUGAUCGGUGAAGGGAGGUGAAGGGAGGCUGAUAGGUGAAGGGAGGCUGAUAGGUGAAGGGAGGUGAAGGGAGGCUGAUAGGUGAAGGGAGGCUGAUAGGUGAAGGGAGGCUGAUAGGUGAAGGGAGGCUGAUAGGUGAAGGGAGGCUGAUAGGUGAAGGGAGGCUGAUCGGUGAAGGGAGGCUGAUGGAGGUGAAGGGAGGCUGAUAGGUGAAGGGAGGCUGAUAGGUGAAGGGAGGUGAAGGGAGGCUGAUAGGUGAAGGGAGGCUGAUAGGUGAAGGGAGGCUGAUAGGUGAAGGGAGGCUGAUAGGUGAAGGGAGGCUGAUAGGUGAAGGGAGGCUGAUCGGUGAAGGGAGGCUGAUCGGUGAAGGGAGGCUGAUAGGUGAAGGGAGGCUGAUAGGUGAAGGGAGGCUGAUAGGUGAAGGGAGGCUGAUAGGUGAAGGGAGGCUGAUAGGUGAAGGGAGGCUGAUAGGUGAAG